rnacentral:rRNA from 1 species
GUGUCAGCAGCCGCGGUAAUACAGAGGGUGCGAGCGUUAAUCGGAAUUACUGGGCGUAAAGCGCACGUAGUCGGCUUUGCAAGUCGGGUGUGAAAUCCCCGGGCUCAACCUGGGAACUGCAUCCGAGACUGCAUUGCUAGAGUAUGGGAGAGGGAAGCGGAAUUUCUGGUGUAGCAGUGAAAUGCGUAGAUAUCAGAAGGAACAUCAGUGGCGAAGGCGGCUUCCUGGACCAAUACUGACGAUCAGGUGCGAAAGCGUGGGGAGCAAACAGGAUUAGAUACCCUGGUAGUCCACGCCCUAAACGAUGAGAACUGGAUGUCGGGAGGGUUUGCCUUCCGGUGUCGUAGCUAACGCGUUAAGUUCUCCGCCUGGGAAGUACGGCCGCAAGGUUGAA